rnacentral:rRNA from 1 species
CCUACGGGCGGCAGCAGUGGGGAAUAUUGGACAAUGGGCGAAAGCCUGAUCCAGCCAUGCCGCGUGUGUGAAGAAGGCCUUCGGGUUGUAAAGCACUUUCAGUGGGGAAGAAAGCCUUGGGGCUAAUACCCUCGAGGAAGGACAUCACCCACAGAAGAAGCACCGGCUAACUCCGUGCCAGCAGCCGCGGUAAUACGGAGGGUGCGAGCGUUAAUCGGAAUUACUGGGCGUAAAGCGCGCGUAGGCGGUCUGAUAAGCCGGUUGUGAAAGCCCCGGGCUCAACCUGGGAACGGCAUCCGGAACUGUCAGGCUAGAGUGCAGGAGAGGAAGGUAGAAUUCCCGGUGUAGCAGUGAAAUGCGUAGAGAUCGGGAGGAAUACCAGUGGCGAAGGCGGCCUUCUGGACUGACACUGACGCUGAGGUGCGAAAGCGUGGGUAGCAAACAGGAUUAGAUACCCUAGUAGUC